rnacentral:rRNA from 1 species
AUUGAACGCUGGCGGCAGGCCUAACACAUGCAAGUCGAGCGGCAGCGGGAAAGUAGCUUGCUACUUUUGCCGGCGAGCGGCGGACGGGUGAGUAAUGCCUGGGAAAUUGCCCAGUCGAGGGGGAUAACAGUUGGACACGACUGCUAAUACCGCAUACGCCCUACGGGGGAAAGCAGGGGACCUUCGGGCCUUGCGCGAUUGGAUAUGCCCGGGUGGGAUUAGCUGGUUGGUGAGGUAAUGGCUCACCAAGGCGACGAUCCCUAGCUGGUCUGAGAGGAUGAUCAGCCACACUGGAACUGAGACACGGUCCAGACUCCUACGGGAGGCAGCAGUGGGGAAUAUUGCACAAUGGGGGAAACCCUGAUGCAGCCAUGCCGCGUGUGUGAAGAAGGCCUUCGGGUUGUAAAGCACUUUCAGCGAGGAGGAAAGGUUGGUGCCUAAUACGUAUCAACUGUGACGUUACUCGCAGAAGAAGCACCGGCUAACUCCGUGCCAGCAGCCGCGGUAACAC